UGCUCGUUAAGGUGUUGGAUCAGAUAACUAAUUAGUGACUACGAGUACUUACUAACAAAGUACUUCAACUAAAUGAGUUGACAACAAAUUCAUAUAAUUUGAAUUUUCUGCAUCUCUCCUCCUAUAAUCGAAGUUCCGCCAUAAAUACUUACUAUGUUCAGCUGGUUUGUCAGCCGAUUAGCCAGCAAUAUUUUUCUCUCACACCAAAUCAGUACCACCUACCAACCAGCCAGUGAUAUUUUUCUCUCACAACAAAUCAAUACCGGAAACUAGCCACAGCCAGCCGAACAGAGUGGGUCGGAAAUUCAAUCCACUUUGUUAGUACUCGUAGUCACAGCAUUGCAUUGUGGCAUUUCACCAAAAAGAAAUGCAUUUAUCAUUUGUAUGAUUUUAUCGAAUCUGAUUGAUGUUAGACCAAACUUCAAAUCGUUAUACUGACAUUUUUGCAUGGUUCAAAUGAAACAAAAUUGAAGUGGCUCACUUUAACAUGAGUUAUAGUAUGACACCAAUUAUUUGGUGCUUGCAUCUUGUACUAGCGUUCAACCUUAUUUUUAACGCAGGGAAAAAAGUUGGUAGAGCUAAGGAGUUGCUGAAGCCAGAUGAGAUUCUAGAGCAAGUUGACUCUACGACAGUUGCUGCAUCACCUCUUCCUUACAAUGUAAGGCAGGGAGAUGUUGAAUAAUCGUUUUUUGCUCAGUGUGGCAAGGGAUAAACUUGUGUUUGAGGGAGAGGCCAACAGCAAGUUGUGGUCUUCUUAUAAGGGAUGUAUGAUGGUCCACAAAGUUUGGCUAUGUGCUUCUCAGCAAAUAAACAUUCAAAUGAUCAAGUCUACCGCUUGCCCUGAGAGGCCACCACUAAAUGCAGGUGCUUGAGGUUGCACCGGUAGUAGUGGGGUAAAUAUAUAUGUCCAUUUUUUUUACUGAUAGUGCCAGGUAAGUUCUUUUUUCUGUGUAUGACACCCUAUUAAUCAUUCAAUUGCUAGCUUUCUCAUACUUUGUUUAUAAAUUGGAGUUCUCAAAUUCAAGCUGGUUUCCUGCUUGCCAUGUAUGUCCUUUUAUUUUGCUUUGCGGUGAACUGCUCUGUACAAUUACUAGCACAAAGUACAUGGCAGAAGUUUCAGUUUUGCCUCUCUUCAUUUCUACUUUUCUCUCUUAUUACUGUUGAUGGCAUACAAUCUAAGUUCUUUUUGCUGUUUAUUUGAUUUGCAGUGGGCACCGGUCGCGGGUGUGAUUGUAUAACAUGAAGGCGUCGUGUUAGGUUAGGUUGCAUUUCUUAAUGAUGCAUUUGGGAAGAUGUCAUGCAAUUCAUGUAGGAGAGACGAUUUGGAGUCACUGGCGUACACCCUUAUUUUCCUAAUAAAAGGAAGAUGGCCUUGGCAGGGUUAUCAGGAACUCCUUACACUCAGCAAUCAUACAAGGUUUCGAGAUCAACUUAAUCAGCCGGCCUGCUGUAUGAUGAUGAUUCAAGUUGUGUCCUACUAGCUAGGAAGCACAAGCACUUGAUGAGCAGAUUGUCCAAGUUCGGAGCGUAUGUCAGCGUGUGUACUAAUGGGAGUGUGUAGAAAGAAAAGGUUUCAGCUUGACCACCACAAAGAAACUUCUUCCUGUAUCAUACUGCAAGAGGCUCAGUCCCCUUACUCUAUUGGUGGCAAUGUUUUCCUAAACUCUAAACGGUACACAGACCCUCCGUUUAGCGUUAGAGUGUGUAGACGCAGUUUAGACGACGUCUAAACGGAUUAAGCGGUUUUGUUACUGUAGCAAGGUUUCAACAGUUUUGUUUAUAUAAUUAUAUAUAGAUGUCAAUUUUACAUGUAAGAUACCUUGCAUAAUUCCAUGAGUCACAGAACAUGAGUCACAGAACUGCAUAUACCUUGCAUAAUUUGAGUUUCUAAACUUGCAUAACUCCAUGUCCACUCCUUUGACUCCAUAUAAUCUAUGCACAUAUAGGAGAAAAUAAAUACUAUUAGACAAAGCUAUAAGUAUUUGGCUGUUUGCAAAUUAAAGCCACAUGCAGUAAUAUGAAAGUUCACAAAUCAGUUCAGAAUUAGAAGAAGUGGCAAACAUUAGGCAAAUCACAAAUGGUUCACAAACAACCAACACACAACAUAAUUCUCACAAGGCACAAAUAGGACAACAUUACACAAAUAGUUCACACACAUAAUAAAAAA